CUCGUUUAAAAAUAGGAUCCCUUAAAUAGCUAGAGUGAGAUAAGGAAAGGGGUCACAAUGUUGAGGAUCAUGACCAAAAGAGAGAAUGGAAGAUUACCCACUGGGUAACUAACUGCUGAAUUGGGAAUAAGGAGGGCAGCAAGAGAGUAAUUCAGUUCUAGUGGGUGUAGGUUGAGUAAUAAUUAUGAGGGGGAGACUAGGCUACGACUUAACACUCUAAGUAACUAGUCUAUUCGUCUUACCUGUUCUGUAUUUCUUUCAUUAAGCAGAUUAAAGGCAAGGUUAUAAUGACACAUGCCAGAAAUCUGCUGCAGUGAAAUUUCAUCUCUGUAUGAUAGGUAAAUAUCUCUAACAUUCGAAGAAAAUCGAAGAAUGAGAAGGAAAAAAAACAAAAAGAAAAAACUAUACGAGCAAACCUCGCAGAAAACUCCAUAAAGAC
rnacentral:sRNA from 1 species